rnacentral:rRNA from 1 species
CCCAGACUCCUACGGGAGGCAGCAGUGGGGGAUAUUGCACAAUGGGGGGAACCCUGAUGCAGCGACGCCGCGUGGGUGAAGGAGCGUUUCGGCGCGUAAAGCCCUCUCGGCAGGGAAGAAGGAGGACGGUACCUGACUAGGAAGCCCCGGCUAACUACGUGCCAGCAGCCGCGGUAAUACGUAGGGGGCAAGCGUUAUCCGGAUUUACUGGGUGUAAAGGGGGCGCAGACGGCAGCGCAAGCCAGGAGUGAAAGCCCGGGGCCCAACCCCGGGACUGCUCUUGGAACUGCGCGGCUGGAGUGCAGGAGGGGCAGGCGGAAUUCCUGGUGUAGCGGUGAAAUGCGUAGAUAUCAGGAGGAACACCGGUGGCGAAGGCGGCCUGCUGGACUGCGACUGACGUUGAGGCCCGAAAGCGUGGGGAGCAAACAGGAUUAGAUACCCGCGUAA